rnacentral:rRNA from 1 species
UACGGAGGGUGCGAGCGUUGUCCGGAAUCAUUGGGCGUAAAGCGUGCGUAGGUGGUUCGUUAAGUCUGUCGUGAAAGCCCCGGGCUCAACCUGGGAAUGGCGAUGGAUACUGGCGGGCUAGAGUGCGGUAGAGGAGAGUGGAAUUCCCGGUGUAGCAGUGAAAUGCGUAGAGAUCGGGAGGAACAUCAGUUGCGAAGGCGGCUCUCUGGACCAGCACUGACACUGAGGCACGAAAGCGUGGGGAGCAAACAGG